GAUGAAGAACGCAGCGAAAUGCGAUAAGUAAUGUGAAUUGCAGAACUCAGUGAAUCAUCGAAUCUUUGAACGCACAUUGCGCCCCCUGGCCUUCCGGGGGGCAUGCCUGUUCGAGCGUCAUUUGUACCCUCCAGCCCUGCUGGGUAUUGGGCGUUUUGUUCCGCUACGCGCGUGAACUCGCCUCAAAUGCAUUGGCAGCCCGCCGUCCCGUGUGGGAGCGCAGCACAUUUUGCGCUCUCCGCUGCUGACGGUGGCAUCCACAAGUCUACCAUUUUACGCUUGACCUCGGAUCAGGUAGGGAUACCCGCUGAACUUAAGCAUAUCAAUAAGCGGAGGA
rnacentral:misc_RNA from 1 species